rnacentral:rRNA from 1 species
AUUGAACGCUGGCGGCAGGCUUAACACAUGCAAGUCGAGCGGAGAGAGGUAGCUUGUUACUGAUCUUAGCGGCGGACGGGUGAGUAAUGCUUAGGAAUCUGCCUAUUAGUGGGGGACAACAUUUCGAAAGGAAUGCUAAUACCGCAUACGUCCUACGGGAGAAAGCAGGGGAUCUUCGGACCUUGGGCUAAUAGAUGAGCCUAAGUCGGAUUAGCUAGUUGGUGGGGUAAAGGCCUACCAAGGCGACGAUCUGUAGCGGGUCUGAGAGGAUGAUCCGCCACACUGGGACUGAGACACGGCCCAGACUCCUACGGGAGGCAGCAGUGGGGAAUAUUGGACAAUGGGCGCAAGCCUGAUCCAGCCAUGCCGCGUGUGUGAAGAAGGCCUUAUGGUUGUAAAGCACUUUAAGCGAGGAGGAGGCUACUUUAGAUAAUACCUAGAGAUAGUGGACGUUACUCGCAGAAUAAGCACCGGCUAACUCUGUGCCAGCCGCCGCCGUAACAC